GGUUAAGUGUGUUGGUUGCUUGAAGUGUGCUUUAUGUGCAGAGAAAACAUUUGCUAUUGAAACUGCUUAUGGGAGAGCAAGGGUUGUUGCUCAAUGGGCUGAUCCUGAAUCCAAAAUCAAAGAAGCCAUUGAAGCUUGUCCAGUAGACUGCAUUGCGUAAGCACAUCACUAGUAGCUCUAGUAAUUGUUGGCUUUUCAAUUCGAUCAGUUACCAUAAAGUAUGAUUCUUUUUGCAGAAUGGUGGAGAGAUCUGACCUUGCUCCAUUGGAGUUUCUUAUGUCAAAGCAACCACGAGGCAACGUGAGGAUUGGGGUUGGAAACACAGUUGGGGAACGUGUCUCUAACGUAUUUGUUGAUGUCAAGAAGUUCCAGGAAAGAUACGCCAAAACUAUGAGCAGAAACACUAAAGAGAGUUCCCAGGUGAGUUUAUGCAUAGUCCUAAUUAAACAACAAUAAAGCCAAGUUAUAAUCAUACCUGUCAGAUACCAAGUAGUUGUGUUGGGAUGUUUUGCAGACAGAAGUAAGAAUAAGUGCAGUAGAGGCAAUCAGGUCUAUCUCCAAUUGGC
rnacentral:lncRNA from 1 species